GGGUGGGGCUAUAUAAUCUCCAUGGAAACGAUACUUUCAAAUGCCAAUACAUUUGCAUACCAAAUAUCAUUGACUUAAUAUUAGAAGUUCAUCUUAAACUGAUCUAAUCACAAACUAAUACAUUUGUACAUGCAAACUAAGCAAAAGAUUCAAAGUCAAAAGACCAUGACUGAGGGGGCGGGGCCAAAUAUUUCUCAUGGAAAUGAGAUGUGCUAAUGCUUA
rnacentral:lncRNA from 1 species